rnacentral:rRNA from 1 species
UAAGGGCGCACGGUGGAUGCCUUGGCACUAGAAGCCGAUGAAGGACGUUACUAACGACGAUAUGCUUUGGGGAGCUGUAAGUAAGCUUUGAUCCAGAGAUUUCCGAAUGGGGAAACCCAGCAUGAGUUAUGUCAUGUUAUCGAUAUGUGAAUACAUAGCAUAUCAGAAGGCACACCCGGAGAACUGAAACAUCUUAGUACCCGGAGGAAGAGAAAGAAAAUUCGAUUCCCUUAGUAGCGGCGAGCGAAACGGGAAGAGCCCAAACCAACAAGCUUGCUUGUUGGGGUUGUAGGACACUCUAUACGGAGUUACAAAGGACGACAUUAGACGAAUCAUCUGGAAAGAUGAAUCAAAGAAGGUAAUAAUCCUGUAGUCGAAAAUGUUGUCUCUCUUGAGUGGAUCCUGAGUACGACGGAGCACGUGAAAUUCCGUCGGAAUCUGGGAGGACCAUCUCCUAAGGCUAAAUACUCUCUAGUGACCGAUAGUGAACCAGUACCGUGAGGGAAAGGUGAAAAGCACCCCGGAAGGGGAGUGAAAUAGAACCUGAAACCGUGUGCUUACAAGUAGUCAGAGCCCGUUAAUGGGUGAUGGCGUGCCUUUUGUAGAAUGAACCGGCGAGUUACGAUUUGAUGCAAGGUUAAGCAGUAAAUGUGGAGCCGUAGCGAAAGCGAGUCUGAAUAGGGCGUUUAGUAUUUGGUCGUAGACCCGAAACCAGGUGAUCUACCCUUGGUCAGGUUGAAGUUCAGGUAACACUGAAUGGAGGACCGAACCGACUUACGUUGAAAAGUGAGCGGAUGAACUGAGGGUAGCGGAGAAAUUCCAAUCGAACCUGGAGAUAGCUGGUUCUCUCCGAAAUAGCUUUAGGGCUAGCCUCAAGUGAUGAUUAUUGGAGGUAGAGCACUGUUUGGACGAGGGGCCCCUCUCGGGUUACCGAAUUCAGACAAACUCCGAAUGCCAAUUAAUUUAACUUGGGAGUCAGAACAUGGGUGAUAAGGUCCGUGUUCGAAAGGGAAACAGCCCAGACCACCAGCUAAGGUCCCAAAAUAUAUGUUAAGUGGAAAAGGAUGUGGCGUUGCCCAGACAACUAGGAUGUUGGCUUAGAAGCAGCCAUCAUUUAAAGAGUGCGUAAUAGCUCACUAGUCGAGUGACACUGCGCCGAAAAUGUACCGGGGCUAAACAUAUUACCGAAGCUGUGGAUUGUCCUUUGGACAAU